rnacentral:rRNA from 1 species
UACAGAGGUCCCGAGCGUUGUUCGGAUUCACUGGGCGUAAAGGGCUCGUAGGCGGUUUGUCGCGUCGGGAGUGAAAACCCAGGGCUUAACUCUGGGCUUGCUUUCGAUACGGGCAGACUAGAGUGUGGUAGGGGAGACUGGAAUUCCUGGUGUAGCGGUGAAAUGCGCAGAUAUCAGGAGGAACACCGAUGGCGAAGGCAGGUCUCUGGGCCACUACUGACGCUGAGAAGCGAAAGCAUGGGGAGCGAACAGG